UUCCAGAGACACACAGGGACCUCAGAACAAAGAUAAGGCAUCGCUGACACCACACCGGGGACAAGCUCACAGGAAAGUCAGGCCGAGGGGACCGAAGCCAGGCAGCCAGGAGCACCCCAGGCAGGAAAAUGAGGUGGCUCCUUCUCUGUCAUGCUCUGUGCCUCUCCUUGUUGAAAGCUUCGGCCCAUACCGUGGAGCUUAACAAUAUGUUUGGCCAGAUUCAGUCACCUGGCUAUCCAGACUCCUAUCCAAGUGAUUCAGAGGUGACUUGGAAUAUCACUGUCCCAGAGGGAUUUCGGAUCAAGCUUUACUUCAUGCACUUCAACUUGGAAUCCUCCUACCUUUGUGAAUAUGACUAUGUGAAGGUAGAAACGGAAGAGCAGGUGUUGGCAACCUUCUGCGGCCAGGAGACUACAGACACAGAGCAGACCCCCGGCCAGGAAGUCGUGUUCUCCCCUGGCUCCUUCAUGUCCAUCACUUUCCGGUCAGAUUUCUCCAAUGAGGAGCGAUUCACGGGCUUUGAUGCCCACUACAUGGCCGUGGAUGUGGAUGAGUGCACCGAGCGGGAAGACGAGGAGCUGUCCUGUGACCACUACUGCCAUAACUACAUCGGCGGCUACUAUUGCUCCUGCCGCUUUGGCUACCUCCUCCACACAGACAACAGGACCUGCCGAGUGGAGUGCAGUGACAACCUCUUUACCCAGAGGACUGGCGUGAUCACCAGCCCGGACUUCCCCAACCCUUAUCCUAAGAGCUCAGAAUGCUUCUACACGAUAGAGCUAGAGGAGGGUUUCAUGGUCAGCCUGCAGUUCGAGGACAUUUUCGACAUUGAGGAUCAUCCCGAGGUGUCCUGCCCCUAUGACUACAUCAAGAUUAAAGCUGGUCCAAAAGUUCUGGGGCCCUUCUGCGGAGAGAGAGCACCAGAACCCAUCAAUACCCAGAGCCACAGCGUCCAGAUCCUAUUCCGCAGCGACAACUCAGGGGAGAACCGAGGCUGGAGGCUCUCAUACAGGGCGACAGGGAACGAGUGCCCAGAGCCAGAGCCUCCUGUCCACGGGAAAAUUGAGCCCCUGCAAACCACGUAUUCCUUCAAAGACCAGGUGCUCAUCAGCUGUGACACAGGCUACAAAGUGCUGAAGGAUAAUGUGGAGAUGGAUACAUUCCAGAUCGAGUGUCUGAAGGAUGGGACGUGGAGUAACAGGAUUCCCACCUGUAAAAAAACCGAAAUGGAUGAGGAGAACGAACUCGGGUCAGAGCAAGAGACAGAGUGAAUGACGGGACCCCACAGAGUGCAGACAUCCAGGAAUGGACCACUCACAAGACCCUGGGGCCCCAGAGCUACUGCACCCCUCCCCACCCCGCCAACACUCCAUUUCCAAUUUCUGUGCGGAUUAGUGUGGAUGCUGAACCAGGCAACACAGUCAAGCAGUUGAAACUGCUGUGUAAAGGACAAUUCUCCACUGGAGGGCUCACUCAUCAUUCAAUCAGUACGCUGGAAAAUAAUGAGAGGACGAGGGGGAUUUUUUUUUUUUUUUUUUUUUUUUUAGCACUUCCAAGUGGACAGUGCUCUUCUCAAAGGACAGAUGACUUUGGUCCUAGAGACCCACGAUUUCAUAUACAACCACAUGCCCCUAGGCUGACCAGGUCAAGUGGGCCCUGGUUCCUAAUCCACUCCACACUUGAAGCUGAAAUGAGCCAGAAGGCCUGUGACUUGAUGACUUUAAUAUUUUUAUCUGUUGCUACUUUCUAACAACCAGGAGUAGGUGAAACUAACAAUAACUCAUAGAGCGUAGGUUUUGUAGGAAACCUAGACAUAGCCUCAUCCAUGUAAUUUUCUAUUCCACCUGCACCUAACCCGGAGCUGAAAGUGCAUUAUCAGAGGUUCUUUCCUCUGGGCCGGGGCUUACAAAUCUUGCAUUUCUGAAAACUCGCUGAUUAAAGGUUUCAAAAAGAGGUCUCACCCUCAAAAGCAGCAGUCCUCAGCUUUGGUGCCGUGGGACAUCACUGGGUCCCACGAUAAAGGGCUCUGUAGCGGCGGUGGGAACCUCUGCUUCAGCCUGAACAAAACCGGAAUAGACGUAUCAGAGAAGCCAUGCAUUACGCUGUGACUACUCAGUCUGUGUGGUGAUUACAUGGGCUCUUGAUGCAGUCAGAACCCUGCAAGGGUGGACAAUGGCAGGUGCAUAGAUUGUGGUGCUAGCCAAGGGCAGGGGUGCCCCUGAGAGCAGAGAGGAGGUGGUCAGUAAAGAUGAGCAUCAGUUCAAUCAAUAUGGUUAUGUCCCCAAAGCGUAACAGAUAUUGUACUCAGUGAGACAGAGGGAAUCCUAAUUUAGGCAGAAGAUUUGAUAUGGGCCCCAAUAAUGGCAAUACGGGGCAACAUAAGAUAAAUGCGUCAGAGAGAUGAGUGUGAAUAGAGGCCUCUGUAAGGAGAAAGGAGGAGGCAGCCCUAUCCAAUUAGAAGACUGCAAAAAGACUCUCAAGAAGAAGCAGUGUUUGAUCAAGGCCUCGAGGUGGCCAGAGCAUGGACCCCAGGGGUUCUGGUGUGGGGAAAGCAGGUGAGGGAGCGGCACAGUGAGGGCUGUGUGAUGCUGGAGCUCAGGUGCACCGAGGACUGGGACGAAGAGGUGCUGGGGUAGGGGGCCGUCCCUGAGGCCGCAGGGCCGAGGGGAGCUCAUGGGGCGUCGUUCUCCAGGAAGCCCCAGAUUGUGGCAGAGCACACUCAGGACGGCGGGUCAAGAAAGAUGUGUCUGAAGGAAAAUAAAUGUCAGCCAGAGAUGACAGCAGAGACAGAGUGUGGGGUGGUAUAUCCCAUCCCAGGGAAUGAGGAGAAAGGGAGGCCAAGGGAAUAGAAACAUGGAGGACAUUUUGAUUCCAAGGUGUGGAAGUGGCCAGAGGGAACGUUAGGGAAAGGGUGAGACCCUUCCUAAAGCAAAGAAGCAAGACCAGCUGAGGAAGCGGCCUCUGGGUGUAGCAUCUUUGAUUGUGCCAGGGCUCAAGGCCCCUUGGAAAGGGAAGUCAUCCCCAGGUCCCAGAGAGACAUGGCCGUUCACCUGCCACAGUAGACUUGGGAGUAGAAGCAUACCACCCCCCACUCACCAUAGCCAAGCUGAAGCGACCCUCUAUUUUAUACUACUUUUCACCUCUAUCUGGCUGUAGGGCCAGCAAAGUUACUUCUCUGGAGUGAUAGGAAAGCAGGCCCUCAACUCAGGAAAUAACUCCCCACCCUUGCUGGCCAAGUAACAGGCUCUCAAUAGCCUGACCAGCUAGCCGUGUCCAAGGCCAACACUGCAAUUCCUCCCCCUGGAACUAGGUAUUAGGUUCAGAGAAUACUCUAGGCAAAAUGAACCCCUAGGCCAACGUUAGGAGAGACGAGAGUAAUACCAAGAUCCAGGCACCAGUCAAUGGCAUUUCCUAAAAAAGGAAGAAAAAUCUGCUUUGAGACUCAGCAAGAAAAUACAUUUAAAACUGUGUUAUGGCUUUAAAUAAUAGCUAUUAUCGCCUUUCGUGGUCCUAGUGCUGACUCUCACUCACACAGUGUGGAAGAGUGUCUCCAUUUCUGGGUGAUCAAAACGAACGGGAACGAUUUGUCCAAGGGGAUUAGAGGUCAAGACCAAAGAUUAACCAGUUCUCUCGGCUUUUGCCUUCCUUGUGGAUAGGAGGCACCUGUUUUACUCUCUUAGCCUUCACCCCUCUCCUCCACAAUGGAGGGCCUUGGAGUCACCUCUGCUUUAGAUUAGGUAACUCUUUAUUCAAUCAAAAUGAUGAAUUUAGAGUUCUAAAUUUAAAAACUACAAUUUCUGGGUAACAUCUCAAGGGCAAAUUGCCCUCUUUCUGUGUCCCAAGGAGCGGGGAAACUGGAAAUGCUUCUUUUUGGAAUGCUGUCCUCUGAAAUAACCAGGAGAUUAAUAGCUAAUUAAUAGCUAAUUACCCAGUUAAUAUUGAUUUUAAGCCAUUUUAAGUAGAAAAGAGAUCCUUAAGAACUGUUCAGUUGGUUUUCUUAAAAGAACACUGAGUUUAAAGUCAGGUCUAGUUUUCUGAUUGUAACUCGCUGUGUGAUCUUAGGCCAGCCAAGUCUCCUCUCUGAGCUCAUCUGUAAAGUUAAAAUGAUAUUCUGGAUUGUCUGCCUUGGGGUUCCUUAUCAACUACAAAGUUCCAUGAUUCUUCUAUGAUUCUCCAACUCUGGCAUAGCCUGUUGGACCUAAGAUGAAGAUGUCCUUAGAAGUGAACACCACUCCCUAAAGGAAGCUCCCGAAGAGGCCCUGACAAAUUGGGGCCUCAGCCUGUGACUUGGCUUCUGACAGACUCAUGCUGGACUCUGGGCUGACAAUGCCCCUAAGACCACCUCUGAGGAGCAGGCAUCCUACAGCGAGGGCCAACAUCCAGCCCCCAGCAAUUGGAGAACAUAAGCAGGUGAACAAUGAGAACUUAGUCUACCCCGGAUCUCACCUCCUGCCUUCUGUGACCAAGCAAGAUGCCUAUGGAGAGCCAGCAGGUUGCAGACUGUGGAGCCCCAGCAGAGCUGAAACAUGGGCUGAUCACCUUCUCCACCAGGAACAACCUUAC